rnacentral:rRNA from 1 species
UACGUAGGGUGCGAGCGUUAAUCGGAAUUACUGGGCGUAAAGCGUGCGCAGGCGGUGAUGUAAGACAGGUGUGAAAUCCCCGGGCUUAACCUGGGAACUGCAUUUGUGACUGCAUCGCUGGAGUGCGGCAGAGGGGGAUGGAAUUCCGCGUGUAGCAGUGAAAUGCGUAGAUAUCAAGAGGAAUACCUGAGGUGAAGACGGGUUGCUAGGCCGACACUGACGCUGAAGCGCGAAAGCCAGGGGAGCAAACGGG